rnacentral:rRNA from 1 species
GACGAACGCUGGCGGCGUGCCUAAUACAUGCAAGUAGAACGCUGAAGGAGGAGCUUGCUUCUCUGGAUGAGUUGCGAACGGGUGAGUAACGCGUAGGUAACCUGCCUGGUAGCGGGGGAUAACUAUUGGAAACGAUAGCUAAUACCGCAUAAUAGUAGAUGUUGCAUGACAUUUGCCUAAAAGGUGCAAUUGCAUCACUACCAGAUGGACCUGCGUUGUAUUAGCUAGUUGGUGGGGUAACGGCUCACCAAGGCGACGAUACAUAGCCGACCUGAGAGGGUGAUCGGCCACACUGGGACUGAGACACGGCCCAGACUCCUACGGGAGGCAGCAGGAGGGAAUCUUCGGCAAUGGACGGAAGUCUGACCGAGCAACGCCGCGGGAGUGAAGAAGGUUUUCGGAUCGUAAAGCUCUGUUGUAAGAGAAGAACGAGUGUGAGAGUGGAAAGUUCACACUGUGACGGUAUCUUACCAGAAAGGGACGGCUAACUACGUG